rnacentral:tRNA from 3 species
GUUUUAAUAGUUUAUAAAAACAUAGAUUUUGUAAUUCUAAAAUAAGAUAAAAUUUCUUUUAAAACU